GAUGAACGCUGGCGGCGUGCCUAAUACAUGCAAGUCGAGCGAACAGACGAGGAGCUUGCUCCUCUGACGUUAGCGGCGGACGGGUGAGUAACACGUGGAUAACCUACCUAUAAGACUGGGAUAACUUCGGGAAACCGGAGCUAAUACCGGAUAACAUGUUGAACCGCAUGGUUUAACAGUGAAAGACGGUCUUGCUGUCACUUAUAGAUGGAUCCGCGCCGCAUUAGCUAGUUGGUAAGGUAACGGCUUACCAAGGCAACGAUGCGUAGCCGACCUGAGAGGGUGAUCGGCCACACUGGAACUGGGACACGGUCCAGACUCCUACGGGAGGCAGCAGUAGGGAAUCUUCCGCAAUGGGCGAAAGCCUGACGGAGCAACGCCGCGUGAGUGAAGAAGGUCUUCGGAUCGUAAAACUCUGUUAUUAGGGAAGAACAAAUGUGUAAGUAACUAUGCACGUCUUGACGGUACCUAAUCAGAAAGCCACGGCUAACUACGUG
rnacentral:rRNA from 1 species